rnacentral:rRNA from 1 species
GGUGGAGCAAAUCGCUAAAAGCCGUCCCAGUUCGGAUCGCAGGCUGCAACCCGCCUGCGUGAAGUUGGAAUUGCUAGUAAUCGCGGAUCAGCAUGCCGCGGUGAAUACGUUCCCGGGCCUUGUACACACCGCCCGUCACACCAUGAGAGUCGGGAACACCCGAAGUCCGUAGUCUAACCGCAAGGAGGGCGCGGCCGAAGGUGGGUUCGAUAAUUGGGGUGAAGUCGUAACAAGGUAUC